CCUACGGGUGGCAGCAGUCGAGAAUCAUUCACAAUGGGGGAAACCCUGAUGGCGCGACGCCGCGUGGGGGAAGGAAGGGGGGAGGAGGGGAAAAGAAGGUCAUGUGGGAGCAAAUUAAAAAGAUAGUACCACAAGAGGAAGAGACGGCUAACUCUGUGCCAGCAGCCGCGGGAAUACAGAGGUCUCAAGCGUUGUUCGGAAUCACUGGGCGUAAAGCGUGCGUAGGCUGUGUCGUAAGUCGUGUGUGAAAGGCGCGGGCUCAACCCGCGGACGGCACAUGAGACUGCGAGACUAGAGUAAUGGAGGGGGAACCGGAAUUCUCGGUGUAGCAGUGAAAUGCGUAGAUAUCGAGAGGAACACUCGUUGCGAAGGCGGGUUCCUGGACAUUAACUGACGCUGAGGCACGAAGGCCAGGGGAGCGAAAGGGAUUAGAUACCCCUGUAGUC
rnacentral:rRNA from 1 species